GAUGAAGAACGUAGCGAAAUGCGAUAAGUAAUGCGAAUUGCAGAAUUUCCGUGAGUCAUCGAAUCUUUCAACGCACAUUGCGCCCACUGGUAUUCCGGUGGGCAUGCCUGUUCGAGCGUCAUUGCUGCCCUCAAGCACGGCUUGUGUGUUGGGCCUCCGUCCUCCUCCCGGGGGACGGGCCCGAAAGGCAGCGGCGGCACCGCGUCCGGUCCUCGAGCGUAUGGGGCUUCGUCACCCGCUCUUGUAGGCCCGGCCGGCGCUUGCCGACACAUCAAUCUUUUUUCCAGGUUGACCUCGGAUCAGGUAGGGAUACCCGCUGAACUUAAGCAUAUCAAUAACGGAGGA
rnacentral:misc_RNA from 1 species